UACGUAGGGUGCGAGCGUUGCCCGGAUUUACUGGGCGUAAAGGGCGCGUAGGCGGCAAUUCAAGUCAUCUGUGAAAUCUCCGGGCUUAACUCGGAACGGUCAGAUGAUACUGCUUUGCUAGAGUGCGGAAGGGGCAAUCGGAAUUCUCGGUGUAGCGGUGAAAUGCGUAGAUAUCGAGAGGAACACCUGUGGCGAAAGCGCUCAUCUGGCCCAAUACUGACGCUGAAGCACGAAAGCUAGGGGAGCAAACGGG
rnacentral:rRNA from 1 species